GCUAGCGUAGCUUACUUAAAGCAUGACACUGAAGAUGUUAGGAUGGGCCCUAGAAAGUCCCGAAAGCA
rnacentral:tRNA from 1 species